CCGAGUUUACAACUCCCAAACCCAAUGUGAACGUUACCAAACUGUUGCCUCGGCGGGAUCUCUGCCCCGGGUGCGUCGCAGCCCCGGACCAAGGCGCCCGCCGGAGGACCAACCAAAACUCUUAUUGUAUACCCCCUCGCGGGUUUUUUACUAUCUGAGCCAUCUCGGCGCCCCUCGUGGGCGUUUCGAAAAUGAAUCAAAACUUUCAACAACGGAUCUCUUGGUUCUGGCAUCGAUGAAGAACGCAGCGAAAUGCGAUAAGUAAUGUGAAUUGCAGAAUUCAGUGAAUCAUCGAAUCUUUGAACGCACAUUGCGCCCGCCAGUAUUCUGGCGGGCAUGCCUGUCCGAGCGUCAUUUCAACCCUCGAACCCCUCCGGGGGGUCGGCGUUGGGGAUCGGCCCUUUACGGGGCCGGCCCCGAAAUACAGUGGCGGUCUCGCCGCAGCCUCUCCUGCGCAGUAGUUUGCACACUCGCAUCGGGAGCGCGGCGCGUCCACAGCCGUUAAACACCCCAAACUUCUGAAAUGUUGACCUCGGAUCAGGUAGGAAUACCCGCUGAACUUAAGCAUAUCAAUAAGGCGGAGGAA
rnacentral:rRNA from 1 species